UACAGAGGGGGCAAGCGUUGUUCGGAAUUACUGGGCGUAAAGGGCGCGUAGGCGGCCUGCUAAGUCGAACGUGAAAUCCCUGGGCUCAACCCAGGAACUGCGUCCGAUACUGGUUGGCUUGAAUCCGGGAGAGGGACGUGGAAUUCCAGGUGUAGCGGUGAAAUGCGUAGAUAUCUGGAGGAACACCGGUGGCGAAGGCGGAUCUCUGGGCAUUACCUGACGCUCAGGCACGAAAGCUAGGGGAGCGAACAGG
rnacentral:rRNA from 1 species